UACUGAAGGUGCAAGCGUUAAUCGGAAUUACUGGGCGUAAAGCGCGCGUAGGCGGUUUGUUAAGUUGGAUGUGAAAGCCCAGGGCUCAACCUUGGAACUGCAUCCGAUACUGGCAGGCUAGAAUAUAGGGAGAGGGAGGAGAAUUUCAGGUGUAGCGGUGAAAUGCGUAGAGAUCUGAAGGAAUACCAGUGGCGAAGGCGGCCUCCUGGCCUAAUAUUGACGCUGAGGUGCGAAAAGCGUGGGGACAAACAGGAUUAGAUACCCCUGUAGUCC
rnacentral:rRNA from 1 species